rnacentral:rRNA from 1 species
AUUGAACGCUGGCGGCAGGCCUAACACAUGCAAGUCGAGCGGUUGAAGGGAGCUUGCUCCUGGAUUCAGCGGCGGACGGGUGAGUAAUGCCUAGGAAUCUGCCUGGUAGUGGGGGAAAAGGCCGGGAAACGGGGGUUAAUACCCCGACCGUCCGGAGGACAAAAUGGGGGGUGUUUGGAACCUUACUCUAUCAUAUAAGCCUAGGCCGGAUUUGCUAGUUGGUGGGGUAAAGGCCUACCAAGGGGACGAUCCGUAACGGGUCUGAGAGGAGGAUCAGUCACACUGGAACUGAGACACGGUCCAGGCGCCUACGGGAGGCAGCAGUGGGGAAUAUUGGACAGUGGGGGAAAGCCUGAUCCAGCCAUGCCGCGUGUGUGAAGAAGGUCUUCGGAUUGUAAAGCACUUUAAGUUGGGAGGAAGGGCAGUAAGUUAAUACCUUGCUGUUUUGACGUUACCAACAGAAUAAGCACCGGCUAACUUCGUG